UGAAGCAUGAUCGUAAGGACAUGUGGAGCGCUUAGAAGUGAGAAUGCCGGUGUGAGUAGCGAAAGACGGGUGAGAAUCCCGUCCACCGAUUGACUAAGGUUUCCAGAGGAAGGCUCGUCCGCUCUGGGUUAGUCGGGUCCUAAGCUGAGGCCGACAGGCGUAGGCGAUGGAUAACAGGUUGAUAUUCCUGUACCACCUAUAAUCGUUUUAAUCGAUGGGGGGACGCAGUAGGAUAGGCGAAGCGUGCGAUUGGAUUGCACGUCUAAGCAGUAAGGCUGAGUAUUAGGCAAAUCCGGUACUCGUUAAGGCUGAGCUGUGAUGGGGAGAAGACAUUGUGUCUUCGAGUCGUUGAUUUCACACUGCCGAGAAAAGCCUCUAGAUAGAAAAUAGGUGCCCGUACCGCAAACCGACACAGGUAGUCAAGAUGAGAAUUCUAAGGUGAGCGAGCGAACUCUCGUUAAGGAACUCGGCAAAAUGACCCCGUAACUUCGGGAGAAGGGGUGCUCUUUAGGGUUAACGCCCAGAAGAGCCGCAGUGAAUAGGCCCAAGCGACUGUUUAUCAAAAACACAGGUCUCUGCUAAACCGUAAGGUGAUGUAUAGGGGCUGACGCCUGCCCGGUGCUGGAAGGUUAAGAGGAGUGGUUAGCUUCUGCGAAGCUACGAAUCGAAGCCCCAGUAAACGGCGGCCGUAACUAUAACGGUCCUAAGGUAGCGAAAUUCCUUGUCGGGUAAGUUCCGACCCGCACGAAAGGCGUAACGAUUUGGGCACUGUCUCAACGAGAGACUCGGUGAAAUCAUAGUACCUGUGAAGAUGCAGGUUACCCGCGACAGGACGGAAAGACCCCGUGGAGCUUUACUGUAGCCUGAUAUUGAAAUUCGGCACAGCUUGUACAGGAUAGGUAGGAGCCUUUGAAACGUGAGCGCUAGCUUACGUGGAGGCGCUGGUGGGAUACUACCCUAGCUGUGUUGGCUUUCUAACCCGCACCACUUAUCGUGGUGGGAGACAGUGUCAGGCGGGCAGUUUGACUGGGGCGGUCGCCUCCUAAAAGGUAACGGAGGCGCUCAAAGGUUCCCUCAGAAUGGUUGGAAAUCAUUCAUAGAGUGUAAAGGCAUAAGGGAGCUUGACUGCGAGACCUACAAGUCGAGCAGGGUCGAAAGACGGACUUAGUGAUCCGGUGGUUCCGCAUGGAAGGGCCAUCGCUCAACGGAUAAAAGCUACCCCGGGGAUAACAGGCUUAUCUCCCCCAAGAGUUCACAUCGACGGGGAGGUUUGGCACCUCGAUGUCGGCUCAUCGCAUCCUGGGGCUGUAGUCGGUCCCAAGGGUUGGGCUGUUCGCCCAUUAAAGCGGUACGCGAGCUGGGUUCAGAACGUCGUGAGACAGUUCGGUCCCUAUCCGUCGUGGGCGUAGGAAAUUUGAGAGGAGCUGUCCUUAGUACGAGAGGACCGGGAUGGACAUACCUCUGGUGUACCAGUUGUCGUGCCAACGGCAUAGCUGGGUAGCUAUGUGUGGACGGGAUAAGUGCUGAAAGCAUCUAAGCAUGAAGCCCCCCUCAAGAUGAGAUUUCCCAACUUCGGUUAUAAGAUCCCUCAAAGAUGAUGAGGUUAAUAGGUUCGAGGUGGAAGCAUGGUGACAUGUGGAGCUGACGAAUACUAAUCGAUCGAAGACUUAAUCAA
rnacentral:rRNA from 1 species